rnacentral:rRNA from 1 species
AAACUUAAAGGAAUUGACGGGACCCGCACAAGCGGUGGAUGAUGUGGUUUAAUUCGAUGCAACGCGAAAAACCUUACCCACCUUUGACAUGGCAGGAAUCCUGAAGAGAUUUGGGAGUGCUCGAAAGAGAACCUGCACACAGGUGCUGCAUGGCUGUCGUCAGCUCGUGUCGUGAGAUGUUGGGUUAAGUCCCGCAACGAGCGCAACCCUUGCCAUUAGUUGCUACGAAAGGGCACUCUAAUGGGACUGCCGGUGACAAACCGGAGGAAGGUGGGGAUGACGUCAAGUCCUCAUGGCCCUUAUAGGUGGGGCUACACACGUCAUACAAUGGCCGGUACAGAGGGUAGCCAACCCGCGAGGGGGAGCCAAUCCCACAAAGCCGGUCGUAGUCCGGAUCGCAGUCUGCAACUCGACUGCGUGAAGUCGGAAUCGCUAGUAAUCGCGGAUCAGAAUGUCGCGGUGAAUACGUUCCCGGGUCUU